UGGGGCGUAGCCAAGUGGUAAGGCAGUGGGUUUUGGUCCCGCCACCCCUAGGUUCGAAUCCUAGCGCCCCAG
rnacentral:tRNA from 5 species